GAGGGUGUAGCUCAGUGGUAGAGAAUGUGCUUAGCAUGCACGAGGUCCUGGGUUCAAUCCCCAGUACCUCCA
rfam:Camelus ferus unplaced genomic scaffold scaffold55, whole genome shotgun sequence.